rnacentral:rRNA from 1 species
ACUUAGUGGCGGACGGGUGAGUAACACGUGGGAACGUGCCCUUUGGUACGGAAUAACUCAGGGAAACUUGAGCUAAUACCGUAUGUGCCCUUCGGGGGAAAGAUUUAUCGCCAUUGGAGCGGCCCGCGUCUGAUUAGCUAGUUGGUGGUGUAAUGGACCACCAAGGCGACGAUCAGUAGCUGGUCUGAGAGGAUGAUCAGCCACAUUGGGACUGAGACACGGCCCAAACUCCUACGGGAGGCAGCAGUGGGGAAUCUUGCGCAAUGGGCGAAAGCCUGACGCAGCCAUGCCGCGUGAAUGAUGAAGGUCUUAGGAUUGUAAAAUUCUUUCACCGGGGACGAUAAUGACGGUACCCGGAGAAGAAGCCCCGGCUAACUUCGUGCCAGCAGCCGCGGUAAUACGAAGGGGGCUAGCGUUGCUCGGAAUUACUGGGCGUAAAGGGAGCGUAGGCGGACAUUUAAGUCAGGGGUGAAAUCCCGGGGCUCAACCUCGGAAUUGCCUUUGAUACUGGGUGUCUUGAGUAUGAGAGAGGUGUGUGGAACUCCGAGUGUAGAGGUGAAAUUCGUAGAUAUUCGGAAGAACACCAGUGGCGAAGGCGACACACUGGCUCAUUACUGACGCUGAGGCUCGAAAGCGUGGGGAGCAAACAGGAUUAGAUACCCUGGUAGUCCACGCCGUAAACGAUGAUUGCUAGUUGUCGGGAUGCAUGCAUUUCGGUGACGCAGCUAACGCAUUAAGCAAUCCGCCUGGGGAGUACGGUCGCAAGAUUAAAACUCAAAGGAAUUGACGGGGGCCC